GAUGAACGCUGGCGGCGUGCUUAACACAUGCAAGUCGAACGGGAAUUCUUUUAUUGAAACUUCGGUCGAUUUAAUUUAAUUCUGGUGGCGGACGGGUGAGUAACGCGUGGGUAACCUGCCUUAUACAGGGGGAUAACAGUCAGAAAUGGCUGCUAAUACCGCAUAAGCGCACAGAGCUGCAUGGCUCAGUGUGAAAAACUCCGGUGGUAUAAGAUGGACCCGCGUUGGAUUAGCUGGUUGGUGGGGUAACGGCCCACCAAGGCGACGAUCCAUAGCCGGCCGGAGAGGGUGAACGGCCACAUUGGGACUGGGACACGGCCCAGACUCCUGCGGGAGGCGGCAGUGGGGAAUAUUGCACAAUGGGGGAAACGCUGAUGCAGCGACGCCGCGUGAAGGAAGAAGUAUCUCGGUAUGUAAACUUCUAUCAGCAGGGAAGAUAGUGACGGUACCUGACUAAGAAGCCCCGGCUAACUACGUG
rnacentral:rRNA from 1 species